GUGAGUCAUUACACCAAUGUUUUUGCUGUGUCUCAGUUUUGUGGAAUUCUAUGUGCUCCUUGGAACGGGAUUAUCAUAGACAGAUUUAAAGGCAAAUACAAAGGUAAAAACUACAAACUACAAAAAAGCCCAUAUAUUCCUACAUUGUCAUCCACACAGAUUUCAUAAAUAUUAGAAGCCAGCUACACGUAGAAACAUUGAACCAUUAGAAUCAAGAUGGAACAAGUGAGCCUACACAUAAAAUAACUGUCAGUAGUACCACAAGCAAAGAUAACAUUAAACACUGUAACAGGGUGUUAAAUUUGAACUUGAUAGGUUUUGUGCACAAAGGUACUUGUAUGCAAGCUGAAUACUUUAAACAAAAAAACAAAGAAAAACUAUUUACAAGACAACAGACAUGCAUUUUUUUAAAAAACAUUUGCAAUGUGUAUGAAGACUUGGCUUGAAAUAGUCUCAUAUCUAGUACCUGCAGAUAUUGCAAACCCUCCCCUUUGUCCCUAGCACGGACUUUGUUUGGCUGUCCAAUCACAGAUUUAAAUAAGUUAUAUUACAGCUCAUUAAAAACCAAUGCAAAGCAGGCAUUCUGCUUGCCUUUUGAGAUUAGUCCCACGGAGCUAAAAUGCCAGGAAGUAACAGAACCAACUGUAGAACGAAAAAAGAUGACAUACUCUUCGUACAUAAUGCUAUGUGCUUCAUGUAUUUAGAGUAUGUUUACUGUGGGGCAUUAGGUGGGGUUUGGGCGUGGCUUGAGGUAAUAUGAAAGUAGUGAGACUAUAAAAUUUACCCUUAGUCUGAAGCCCCUGGUCUUUCUGCCUAGCAAUGUUCCUGCUUAAUAGUAAGUUUAUAACCUUAUCUUACAUUUCAACUUUAUUACAUGCUUUUCAAACAAUGCUUUAUUUAAGUCUCAAUAUGUGUGUAAAAUGUUUGUUUGCUGGCUUAAAAAAAAAUAAAAGAAGAAGCCUGGUGAUUAUGUUCCAUUAUGUUUAGUCACUAUUUAUUUGGUGUUGGUGGGCAAACUGGACGAUAAUAGAGUCAGAGUCCUGGGAGUGAGUCUUCAGUUAGAUGAUGGGCUGUGUAUGCCAAUAGAGGAUGCAGGAAUAUGAAGUUAUAUCUUUUCGCUAUGCACAGAGCUUCCAGUGCAAGAGUAUGCAUGCUCACAGGACUACUGUCAGCCACCAAUAAUAAGGUAGAAGAUGGAUUGUGAUAUUAGUUGAAGAGGGGGUAGAGCAGAGGCCACAUGUGGGGAAAUUAAGGUGGUAUGGCUAAAGGGGUCCAAUUGGAAAAGGAACAGUGGGCAGGAUGACACAAGGGAGGGAGGGGGUAUGGAAAGAAAGACGCAAGGUGUAGGGCUGGAGCAAGAAGUUUUGGCUACAUUGGCUAAGGGGCAUGGCCAGAGCAAGGAUUUUUGGCUACAUUCCCCCAAAUGCAUUUUCACCUGUGUGUCUCUUAACCUCCUUUUGAAGUUUUCAACCCUUUAUCCUCUUAGUGUUUCUUUUCCCCUAUUUUGAAUGUCUUACCCCUUUUGUGUAUUGUAUCCCACUGUUGUGUCUUACAGUCCCAUUAGUGUAUCUUAUAUAUGCCCAUCUAUCUGUCUUGCACCAACCUUAGUGUAUCAUAUCCCCUUUUAGUGUAUCCUACCCCCUUAGUGUCUCUUACAACUCUCUUACCCCUUGUGUGUCUCUUACAACCCCAGCCCCUUAGUGUGUAUUUUUCUCUCCCUCCAGCCUCUCUUUGUGUCUCUUCCUCUUUUGCAGGGGAUGUGGUGGGGAGACACAUGGAGGGGCUGCAGGGAGGUGGGGAGACACAUGGAAGGGGCUGGAGGGGAGGGGCAGACAAAUGGAAGGGGCUGGAGGGAGGUAAACACAUGGAGGGGCUGCGGGGAGGGGGAAUACACGUGGAAGGGGCUGCAGGGGAAAGGGGAAGAAAGACAUGGAAGGGGCUGCAGGGUGGGGGGAAAUGAGACACAAAGAGGGGCUGAGGGGAGGAAAUAAGACACAUCGAGGGGCGGGGGCAAUUUUCACACUUUGGCCCCAUGGUUUCUAGUUACACUUCUGCUUGCAGCUAAGAUCAAGGGAGGUCUGCAAUAAUAGCAUGCAGGUCUGCAAGUACCUGUAUUUUCUGCCUAAUUUACUUGUUAUUCAAAGUUAAAUUGCCCUCUUUUGUUGUGUUUUCUCUGUGCUUUGAGUGUGUCUAUCCUGAGGAAGCUAUUGGUUUGUCUAGUAUGUCACACCAAGAGACAUUGCAUGAAACUUUUUUUCAGACUGAACAGGUAGCCUGGUGUACACAAAUCUACAUAUAGGAAACUUGGAAAACCUAUCUUCCUUGUAUUUUGUGUGCUCUGAUCUUAUAUAUAAAACCACAAUUAUUGAAACACUAACCAAGCAUGCAGCAACAUAAGUAUUUUAUGAACAUAGAGCAGUCAUGAUCAUGCAUCAUAAAUCUCUUUUUCUGUCAAUUUCAGACUCAACGGCAGACCUACAUUCCUGUGUGGUUUCACUGGCUAUCACUGCCACACAAUGCAUGCUUUUCUCAAUCAGUGCCACACUAUCAAUACUCCCUGCCUUCUAUGCAACAUUUAUCCUGCAAGUUCUAAACCGCUCUUUCCUGUAUGGAGGCAACGCAGCAUUUCUCUCAAUAGCGUAAGGUUUUCUUAUUACAUUUAUAAUAACUAUGACUGAAACAGAUUAGAGAGGAAAAUGAGUAGCAAGAGAGAUUCAGAAAACUGGAAGAUAGAGAGCCUGAAAUAUAUGGGGUAACGUUGACAAAGACAAAACUGGAAAAAUAAAGACAGGCACUGAAAGACGGGCAAUGUGUGUGACAGACAUGACAUUGAAAAAGGUAGAAGGACAGAGAAAAGUUGGAAAACAUGAGUGAAAAAAAUAUAAUGUGUGAAAAUGAUGGAUAGUCAGAAAGCAAAAGAGCUAAGGUGUAACAAAAAUAUAGAAAAUACAUAACUGUCUUAAUUUUCUUGACUUGGUUAAAUCAUGGUACCAUUAGCUAGCCACUCACAUCCAAGCAGAAAGAACAGGAAACAGAACUUAAGGUUUACUUUAACCAAGUUCUUAACCUAUGCUAAUUUUAAUCUAUAUAACAAUAUCUAAUUAGGCAGUGCUUUUUUUAUGUCAAUCUUUAUUUUUCUGUGCAAAAGAGUACAAACAGUCUUGCAAAGCCACAACAGCAAUCUCAAGCUUUAAUAAUAUAUGGUUUCAUAUUGUUAUGUCAUUGUCAUGAAUGUAUUUGCACAAUUUAAAAAAAACCAAGAAAAAAAAAACCCAAUAAUAAUUCAGGCAGGUUCCUCAUGUGUAACUGUUCACUAAAAUAAGUGUGUAGCUUAGGCAUUCAAGGUUUAAGAUUAACCAAAGACGAGGUAUAAAACCAGACAUCUUUAGCAGAACAUGAAAUCAGUCUAUAUUAAGUGCCCCUUAACUUUAUUUGUGAGCUUGCUGCAUACAAAACUAGGUAGACAUGGUGAAGUAACAUAAGAAUAAAAGUUCAAACGUUUGAUAAAAUAAAAAGUAUUGGUCAUUUAACCAUAAGCUAGUCAAUUAUUAGCGUGAGCUUACUGUAGGUAGACAUAACACUUAGUAAGUAGCUAAUAAAGUAAAACACAGAUGGUAAAUCAGACAAAAUAUCUCACUGGCAUCAAGAAAUCAUCGGUUGAGAAGGCUUAGUAGUAGCACUACAUAAAAAAAUAAAUACAACAGUAAACAGACAUAAAGAAAGAGCUUCAGCACCAAAAAAUAACUUUGUUAUAAAGCAGAGUAACUAGAGUUUAUCCAACUCCCCUUUGAGGGGUAAUCAGGGACCCCAGAGAUCGCCUUCUCCUCAGUAGACCAGUGGCCUCCUGUGGUGGCAGGUAAGCCCCAACCAGCCUCCAGGCAAUGGUACAUGCUCUCAUGCCAGAGCGCAACUGGCAUUCCUAGUUGUCUCAUGUGCUGUAAUGCGUCAUUUAGGGUGGCCAGUCGGCCAUCACUUCAGAAUCUUCUGAAUGUGGGAGCAGUACAAGGGUCGUGAGACCCAACGUGCCCAAAGCCUGAAGACAGUCGGCCUCACCCAUCUUGUUUCGCAGUUGCUGUCGAUGGGGAUUCCAUGACCCUCUGAAGCCAUGUAUCGCUACUCCGUGUAUCGCGCUGCAGCAGGGUAGGAUGUUGCGGCACAGUAGGUGCAGAGGGGAUAUCCAGCCACAGCCAGAAGGAUUGGCACAAGCGGUCGAAAGCCUGCAGGAUUUCUUGCUCGGCAGUCAUUUUAGGAUCGUAAGGUACAUGCUGUGUCAAGUUAUGAUGGUGUAUGCAACAGUUAGCCAUGUGAGGUGCUAGUUCGGUCGGUGUAGGGUGGGAUCACCACGCUGUCCCUAAGGUGUUGUAACGGAGCAAAGAUGAUAGCGGGACACCUCAGAACAAGAGACCAGCCACUUCCCCAUCCCGAGCUACCCAAUAGGCCACAGAAUAGUGUGCCACAGAAAUCAUCUGUAUUUUUGGGACGGUUAAUCAGUCCUGAGUAUGGCAGAGUGACUGUCAGCUGAGCCAGUACUAUGUCCAUCGGUAAAAUCAUCCAAAAAGUCACUUUUUAUUUUGCUGAAAUACAUUGAACAAAAUUAUAAACGCAACACUUUAGUUUUUGCCCCCGUUUUUCAUGAGCUGAACUCAGAGAUCUAGGACUUUUUCUGUGUACACAAAAGGCCUAUUUCUUUUAAAUAUUGUUCACAAAUCUGUCUAAAUCUGUGUAAAUCUUGCCCAAAUAAUCCAUCCACCUCACAGGUGUAGCAUAUCAAGAUGCUGAUUAGACAGCAUGAUUAUUGCACAGGCGUGCCUUAGGCUGGCCACAAUAGAAGGCCACUUUAAAAUGUGGGUUGUUUGACUCAUGGAAAUUGACACAUUCUGGAGAAAAAGAUUAUAGCUAGUAUUCUAUGGUACACAACAUGUACUCAAGAAUAGAUAGAUAUCUAUUGAAUGAAUCCGCUUUGGACUCCGUUAUUAAAUCAUAAAUAUUACCCGUUGAUUGGUCUGACCAUACACUGAUUAUAUUACACCUAAAAGAAACAUACGCUGACGCAGUGGCGGGAUGGGCUGGGGGCAGGGAGGCAAUUGCACCCCAGGCCGCCCUAAAUCAUUUUAAAACCGGCUGCGGCGGGCCGGUCCUAAUGCUGCAGCCACUUGAGCACUCUGUUAAGAGCCUCAGGCGGCUGCAGUUGCUUCUCUCCUCCCAUCCCCUCCCCUGUAGCGUGGCAGAGCUCCUCUCUGGUCUGCGGUGCCCGGCCGGAGUGAUAGGAAGGUGCACACUGAGUGUGCACUUUCUGUCAGUCCGGCCGGUUACAGGAAACAGAAACUCCUGUUCCGCGCAGAGACGGGAACAAAGAGGUUCUGCGGCAGCUGGCCAUCCUGCAAGAAUUACAUUAACCAACUGUUCCCCAUGGAGCCACAGCGCUGUGCUGGGAGAAUGUGAUAACUCUUCACUUCCUCCCAGCCUACAGAGCAGCGUAUGGGAGAGAGAGAGGAGGAGGCAUGAUUUAAUCUUACAACAAAUCCAGUUAGCAAAUCUUUAUAAAUUUGGGGGAUCAGCUCUGUUUCCACAGUUUAUUGGUGUUUACUCUGAUGUCUGUAUUAAUAUUGAGGGAUUUCUAAGUAGUAACAUCAGUGUGUGUCAGCAGGGCCAGCCGUUGGGGUGUGCACGCUGUGUGGUCACGCAGGGUGCCAUGACAACAGAGGCGCCCGGAGGCCAACACAGCUCACAAGUUGGGGACACCAGCAUAUUCAAUUUAAACGAUUUGCUGGUGGUCCACUGGUGCGCACCAGCAGUAGGUGCAGUCAGAUUAUAUCCUCUCCCUCGUGGUUCCGGUGCUCAGUUAGUGAGUGAGAGCACAGGCUCAGAGAUUCUCAGCCUGCGCUCUGGCAACAUUGAAAGUCAGAGCCGUGAAGGAGCAGGUAUGGCAAAGAGCCACCGAUUAGCAUAACAUCAAUAUCCGUUAUAAAACCAGGAAAAGGCUGGCAUGGAUGGUGAACUGAUUUGGUGGUGCAAUGGGCCACUUGACUGGUUUUGCCCCCCAGGCCUAAAGCUGCCAGCCCUCCCCUGCGCUGACGCACCCACAUGGUCAUGGAAGUUAGGUGAUCACUUACUACAUGGUCCAGAAAAUAUCCAGCUAGCAGAACUAGCAAUUAAAAACUAUUUUGAAACUAACACCACUCCAGUACCUUCAUAUGAAACCAUAUGGUACGACCAUAAGGCAAACAUAAGAGGCCACUUCCUACAAAGGGCAUCAUAUUUAAAAAAAAAAAUUCUACCUAUUUGCUCUCUUUAGAAAAGGAACACUAUAACUUACAACAAGCCAACAAAUUCGGUCCAUCUAAAAGUUUAGCAUUAAUGUUGAUAGAAAUUAAAGGGAGAAUUGAAAUAAUUAGACUCCAACAUACUGCCCUAAUGCUUAGAAGGGUUAAACAACUAUUCUGUUUCAAAAAGGCUUUAUUCAAACAUAAACAUUUCAGGGUGUGCCCUGAUCAAUGUACAACAGCAUGAAUCUAUAGAUUAAACAAGCAAACAAGAUAUAACGGACGCGCAGGUCCCAUCGUAGAAUGUGUGAACAUCACUCGAACAAUGUUACGUAUUAUACAUAUAUGGUAUUUGAUCGUGGUUAACACGUUAGAAUAUUCAUAUGGGUGACCGGUUUGCAGCUCGAGUAGAGGAAUAUUCGUAUGUUUGUACUUUGUGUCUGCCUUUUGUGUUCCUUUAAUAUUUCCUUAUCACCCCUGGGCCUCUUUCUCUUUGGGAUGGUAAAGGCUAUUGGUCCGUCGUUAUUGGUCAGUUGCCCUUCAUGAGUGUGCCUUAUUCGUGCUGUGUGAUCUCACGAUAUAGGUGUUUGCUUCCAUUUUGAUAUGUGAGUGUGAGUGAGCUGUUAGCAAUCUCGGGUUGAGGAGGGCUGCGUCUGUUAUUCAAUUUGUAUAGAAAACAUUGUUGGAGAAUUUAGAAAGAAGAUGAGUGAAAAAUGAGUAAGAAGUAAGAGAAAGAGAGAGGGGGGAUGAGAAGGAGGAAGCGGGUUGGAGGAGGGAUGGGUAGGGAGGUGUGAAGAGGCGGGGGGUCCCAUCGCCCGUGCCCCUGUUAUUGCACGUAUCAUACCAGAUGUCAGUCCCCAUCUGUGGGGGGGCGCGGGGUUCCCUGGGGCUGCGGACGGCUAUUCCUAUCUGUGCUUCGGUCUGCUAUGUAGAGUAGCCAUGGGCGCCACCUCUCCACAUGCUUGUCCUCGAGGCCCAUAAGUGUAGCCUGCAUUGAUUCCACUCUAUAUAUUUCUUCCACACGCUCCAUCCAUUGCCUUAUCGUCGCGAUAUUCGUUUGUUUCCAGUAUAGUGGAAUCAGUGCCUUGGCCGCGUUAAUUAGGUGUCUACGAAUGUUUUUCCUAUAUGUUCCUAUGGGGUCUGGUGUGGAGUGCAGGAGAACCGCCUCUGCGUUGAGGUUUCCUUCCGUCCCUGUGAUUUCCCCUAUUUUCUGUAGAACUUCGUCCCAGUAUGGCUUAAUGAGUGAGCAUUCCCACCAUAUGUGUAGUGGCGAACCCCGUUCAUCCCCACAUCUCCAGCAUGUGUCAGGUAUAUUCGGGAAGAUCCUGUGUAGACUGUCAGGCGUUCUGUACCAGAAUGAAAGGAGUUUAUAGUUUGUUUCCUGAUCUUGGGAGCUCGAUGAGCAUUUAUGGUGUAAUAUGAGGAUCUUAUCCCAUUGGGAUGUGGUGAAGGAUGUAUUUUUACACCUUUAUUAAGUCAAACAUACCUUGCAGGAUUAGCCUCUCCCAGGCUUUUACAAAUUUGGUGGUUAACUUAUAAUCAAUACACUAUUUUAGUGUAUGGUAAUAGUAUUUGGACUAUAUACCAUUUUAGCAUUUUUUUCUAAUAAAGGUUGUUUAUCCUCUUCUAUGUGACUAUUUACAUUAUGAGGUACUUUGAAUGAGGCUAGGCAUUCCACCCACUUUUUUGUGAGUGGACUGUCUGCCCCAUUUUUCGUCUUUUUUUUCUAAUUUUAAGUUAAGGUGGCAAAAAGAAGUAAACCCCAAUAUAGUUUCCAAAGCAAAUAUGUCCUGAACUUGAAAUUGCGCUAUGAACUUGGUGAAAAUGUGAACGGCUCUAUCAUAGGUUUUCCUAUAGUUAACCAAAAGUGCAAGGUGGGAAAGAUUACGUGCAUGAGUCAAUAAAACAUCUAAUCCAGGAGCAUGUCUUGGAAUGAAGGGGCAGGGGUAGCCACCUGGGAAGCGGUGGGCAGAGUCUGGAGGAAAGCCUGAAAUUGAAACCGAGACAAGUGAUCAGCUGGUAUAUUUGUGACACCCGAAAUGUGAAUUGGCAAGUGGCCGCUACCUAUGGGAGUUUCCUUAAAAACCUCAUAAUUACCAAAGAUGAGGACUGGCCUUUAUUAACAAUGUGGCAAGUGGCUAGGUUGUCAGAAAAACAUCUGACUGAGUGACCAGUCCAGUUUGGCCCCUAGGAAAUAGCAGCGGCCACGAUUGGGUAUAAUUUAAACAUGGCCGAUGUAGUAGAGAAGCUAGGUAGGGACUUAACUUCUCUAGGCCAUGGACCUCAAAGCCAUUUAUUGCCACAGCAUCUGUCCAGAGUGUAGGAGAAUUGUCAGAAAGUGAGGGGGAUGAACACAGCUUGCCCAUAUCAAGAUGUGAGAAAAAUGCGCCACAUAAGUAAGUCAGCCGUUGCGUGUGUGUCUAAAGUGAUGCAUGAUUCGUCUGAGGUGAGGUCCAGGAACAAAGAAAGUAGGUGUCAGGAUCCUAUCCUGACAACCAAGGUAUUGUUUUAUUUUAUUGCUGCAAUACCUGUUUCUCGCCAUCUUCCAAGUCUGCUAUAAAAGGCUACACCUAACUAGUGAUGUCGCGAACGUGAAAUUUUCGGUUCGCGGAUCGCGAACGCGAACUUCAGCAAAUGUUCGCGAACCGGGUGAACCCGGCGAACCGCCAUAGACUUCAAUAGGCAGGCGAAUUUUAAAACCCACAGGGACUCUUACUGGUUGAAGGGGGGGGGGAAGGAGACCUACUCUCCUCCCCCCCGGCCCCCACCCCUGGGCGGCGGGUGGGGGCCAUAAAGAUAAUGAGGGGGACCUACUGUCCCCCCCGGCCCCCACCCCUGAGCGGUGGGUGGGGCCCUAAUAACAAUAAGGGGGGACCUAUUGUCCCCCCCCCGGCCUCCACCCCUGAGCGGUGGGUGGGGGCCCUAAAAUGAACAAUAAGGGAGUGACCUAUUGUCCCUCCACGGCCCCCACCCCUGAGCGGUGGGUGGGGGCCCUAAUAACAAUAAGGGGGGGACCUAUUGUCCCCCCCCGCCCCUACCCCUGCACGGCGGGUGGGGACCAUAUUGAUAAUGAGGGGGGGGACCUACUGCCCCCACCCCGGCCCCCACCCCUGUGCGGCGGGUGGGGGCCAUAUUGAUAAUGAGGGGGGGACCUACUGCCCCCCCCGGCCCCCACCCCUGCAUGGCGGGUGGGGGCCAUAUUGAUAAUGAGGGGGGGGACCUACUGUCCACCCCCCCUCCGGCCCCCACCCCUGGGCGGCAGGUGGGGGCCAUAAAGAUAAUGAGGGGGGGACCUACUGUGUCCCCCCCGGCCCCCACCCCUGGGCUGCGGGUGGGGGCCCUAAGUAAAUCCCCCCCCCCAAGGUGACUAGGGGUCCCCAAGCCCCUAGUCACCCACCCCCCCCAAAUAAAAAAUAGUGAGGGGGGAAUAAAAUAACUAACCUGUAAAAUAAAAGUAAACUUACCAUUCGACGUCUUCUUUUUUCUCAAAUCUUCAUUUUUCAGCCCCAAAAAAGGCCAAAUAAAAAAACCAUCAUAACCGUCGAACAAAAAAAAAAAAUAAAAUCCCGAGCGCAAAACAAAAAACCCGAAGAAAAAGAAAAAACCCAAGCGCAAAAAAAUAAUCCAUCUUCUCCCAUGGAGGUCUCCAUGCAGACUGAGCUCCGCAGGGCGGGGGAAGACCCUGCAAUUAGGCUAAGAACACUCUGAUUGGUGGGUUUAAGCCAAUCAGAGUGCUCUUUGUCAUUUUACACAGCGUGGUAAAAUUCAAAAGAACUUUCCCACGCUGUGUAAAAUGACACAGAGCACUGUGAUUGGAUGGCUUGAAAUCCAUCCAAUCACAGUGCUCUGUGUCAUUUUACACAGCGUGGGAAAAUUCUUUGGAAUUUUCCCACGCUGUGUAAAAUGACACAGAGCACUCUGAUUGGCUUAAACCCACCAAUCAGAGUGUUCUUAGCCUAAUUGCAGGGCGGGGCAAGGAGUUCAGUCUGCGCCGAGCCCUCCAUGGGUGAAGAUGGAUUUUUUUUUUGCGCUCUGGUUUUUUCUUUUUCGUCGGGUUUUUUUUUUUGCGCUCUGAAUUUUUCUUUUUAUUUUAGUUCGACGGUUAUGAUGGUUUUUUUAUUUGGCCUUUUUUGGGGCUGAAAAAUGAAGAUUUGAGAAAAAAGAAGACGUCAAAUGGUAAGUUAAAUUUUAUUUUACAGGUUAGUUAUUUUAUUCCCCCCUCACUAUUUUUUAGGGUGAGGGGGGUAGGUAGGGACUUUUUAUUUGGGGGGGGUGGGUGACUAGGGGCUUGGGGACCCCUAGUCACCUUGGGGGAGGGGGAAAUUUACUUAGGGCCCCCACCCGCAGCCCAGGGGUGGGGGCCGGGGGGGAGGACAGUAGGUCCCCCCCCUCAUUAUCUUUAUGGCCCCCACCCGCCGCCCAGUAAUUUUUACUUAGUAUUAGUAAAUUUAAUAGGGGGCGGACCGAACAUCUCACAUGUUCGCCGUCCGUGGCGAACGCGAACACGCUAUGUUCACCAGCAAACCGUUCGGGACAUCACUACACCUAACUCUUCACAUGGCCUUUACAUUGAAAUCAGUGUUCUGACAUGGAACUUCUGAUCCUGGCUCCUGAAAACAUCCUGAUCCUCUAUUGAGACUCCAUGUGUCCCAUCGCUGAAUCCUCCUGAAACUCUUAUCUUCAACUAUUGCAACACUGCAUGAUCCUGUAAGCAACCUAGAUUACAUUACUGGAAUCUACUUACCUGUUUCAACUGCUGCAACACUGCAUGAUCCUCUAAGCAACCUGUAUUACAUUAUACUGGAAUCUACUUACCUGUCUCAACUGAUGCAACUCUGCAUAAUCCUUUAACCCCUUAAGGACACAUGACAUGUUUGACAUGUCAUGAUUCCCUUUUAUUCCAGAAGUUUGGUCCUUAAGGGGUUAAGCAACGUGUACUAUAUUAUACUGAAAGUACGUACCAGCUUUAACCUUUCAACCCUGUAUCAUCCUGAACCUGGCUGCAGUGUGACAUUCCAAAGACUACUAAUCUAUUUGGGAAUAACAUCAAACCUACUUGUAUAAAAAAGACUUUAUUCAUUUACUUUCAAGAUAUCCUGUUUGUGGAAUAUUGCCUUUAUUCUGUUUUACUUUCAAAGUAUCCUGUUUGUGGCAUAUUGCCUUAAUUCUUUCUUACAAGUAAAUUGUUAUGUCUAAAAAGACAAAGUUUCAACCAAUAACCCUGGAAAUUGUCUCCUCUCCGUCCUGCUCAGGGACAUUACAGAAUGUAAAAUGCCUUAAACCGGAUGUUACAGGAUUAAACCAGUGUUCUAACAAUCAUUGCUGAAAGCCUCUUAGAAAUCUGCAAAUCUAUUUCUUGCUUGUUGCAAUCAAGCUCCUGCAUAUCACCUGUGUGGAAAAAAAAAAAAAAACCUAAGAAAAAGGAUUUCUCCUCCUAAGGGUUUCGUCCCUCUACUUUUCCCAAAAUGUCUCCUUUUUUCUCAAUUUAUGGGUUUCGUCCCUCAGAAGUUUGCAGAUGCUUAAAGUCAAAGAGAAGAAAAAACAUAGGAGAAAGAAAUAAUGACUGUUUUCUGUUCAUUAUGGUCUGUGUACAACUAUACUACCUUCUAUUCUACUCUGCAUGAAACCAUUGCAUCCAGAGUCUGCUUUUGAAGGAGGAGAUUAUGUUAGGAUCCUAUCCCGACAACCAUGGUAUUGUUUUAUUUUAUUGCUGCAAUACCUGUUUCUCGCCUCUAGUGGCCUCCCUAGCCACUAGUCAAUCCUCAGUUGCUCUCACCUGCCUCAUAUGAUCUUCCAAGUCUGCUAUAAAAGGCCACACCUAACUCUUCACAUGGCCUUUACAUUGAAGUCAGUGUUCUGACAUGGAACUUCGUAUCCUGGCUCCUGAAAACAACCUGAUCCUCUAUUGAGACUCUGUGUGUCCCAUCGCCGGGAUCCUCCUGAAACUCCUAUCUUCAACUGCUGCAACACUGCAUGAUCCUGUAAGCAACCUGUAUUACAUUAUACUGGAAUCUGCUUACCUGUCUCAACUGCUGCAACUCUGCAUAAUCCUUUAAGCAGCCUGUACUAUAUUAUACUGAAUGUACUUACCAGCUUUAACCUUUCAACCCUGUGUCAUCCUGAACCUGGCUGCAGUUUGACAUUCCAAAGACUACUAAUCUACUUGGGAAUAACGUCAAACCUACUUGUAUAAAAAAGACUUUAUUCAUUUACUUUCAAGAUAUCCUGUUUGUGGCAUAUUGCCUUUUAUUCUGUUUUACGCAAAGUAUCCUGUUUGUGGCAUAUUGCCUUAAUUCUUUCUUACAAGUAAAUUGUUACAUCUAAAAAGACAGAUGAAGUUUCAACCAAUAACUCUGGCAAUUGUCUCCUCUCCAUCCUGCUCAGGAACAUGACUGUAGACGGGAAAUGAAAGAUCUACCCUGGGAAAUGAUCCUCAUGGCAAAACUGAGCGACCCAAGCAGAAAUUGAAGUUCUUUCCGGUUACAAGAAUCUAGCUGCAAGUACAGCUCAAUGCUUGAUUGGGUGCUCUCAAUCUUUUCCUGGGGAAGACUUGCCUGCAUGUAAACUGAGUCUAGUUGAAUCUCCAGAAAAUGCAUAACCAUGUCCGGACCUACCGUUAUUUUAAGGGAGACCGGUAUACCCAGGGAUUCAAAAAGAGCCGUCAUGUAUUUGAGGCUGCUAGGGGUUAGUGAGUUGUUUUCAAUCAUGAGAAAGUCAUCUGAUUAGUGAACAGUCGGACAUCUGCACACAAUAAGUCGCAACCAACACAAGGUCUCAGCGAAGAUAUCAAAUAUUUUGGGGCCGCUCUUGGAGCCGAACGUGAAUCGGGAGAAGAGAUAAUAUAAACCUUGCCACUUAAUGCCAUGCAGAUGCUGUGCAGAUGCCAAAGUGAGGGGUGAAUGGGAAGUAACUUGAAAGCAUUGGCAAUGUCCAUUUUACUGAGCCAUGCUCCUGUCCCAGUAGCCAAAAUGGCCCAGAAGGCAUUGUCAAUAAUGGCAUAAUGCAGAGAGAAUUCAUCAGAGGGUAUGAAGGAAUUAAGACUGGGGAUAGUGGAGGAAUGUGGUGCUGAUAAGUCGAUGAUAAGUCUGUGUUUAUGUGAAGAUUUUCCCCGUGACAACCCCAAUAGGAUUAGUUCUCCAUGAAGUGAAAGGCGGGGGAACAAAUGGCCCUAACACAAAACCCUGUUACAACUCAAUUUUGAUAAGAUCACUCACUAACUCUGGAUCUGUCAUUGCUGUUUGUAGAUUAUUGCAUUCCAGUGUACCAGAUGGCAAGUGUAUGAUACCCAUGUGAAAACCUUCAGACAACCCCUUGGUGAGAAAUUUAACCAAGUGUUGUGAGGGGUGGUGUUGUAAUAGAGCAGCAAAUAACGUGACGUUGAUGCAAGUGAGGUAUGGUUUAGGAAACAUUUUAUUAGGGCACAUGGUUUUUGGGUGAGCCCAGAAACCGUAAGCACAUACGUGUAACAACCUACAGGAACUAAACCCACAAGUACCCACAUUAAAAUUGUUACAUAUUUGGAACUUGCCCAGGAAGGUUAUGUCCCUACCCAGCUUAUCCUUCAAACCUCUGGUUGCUCUUGCAGUGUUAUGGCCUGAGUGGCCCUACUCAGCUUCCGUUGUAUUAGGGCAUAGGUUGGUACAGUGUACCGUGGAUGCACAAACUGCACAAGCCAGAGUCCUGAGGCCUGCAAAAUGCCUGCAGAAUAACUCGGUAUCUAACUUACUCCAAUUUAUACCGUAGUUAAACUGAGUCAGUGCUGCAGCCACUUUUGCAGAAAAGGAACGGUGGUAGUCAUAGAAGGCUGUACCACCGUAUUUGUUCCCUCCGCUCCACCAGCUUGUGCAUGUAUAUGUCCAACUUUUCCCUUUUUUCAAGAUAAACAGAGCAAUACACAUCCCUAUAAAUCCCAAAACCUAACACAAAUUCAGAUGUAGACAGUUUUUAUUCAGCCUAGGAUCUCUUGACCUCAGCACCACUAAUGUCCCCAUACGCAAAGGUCCUGUUCUCAAGGACAUCCUGGGAGGCAAUGAGGAGCGAGACUAAGUUAACAUCCUUGCCCUCCAGCAUGUCCUUCUUGAGAUUAGCCGGGACCAUAUGCGAUGGGUUGAUACUUUCGGGGCCCUUAAAUGGGGCAAGAGAGUUACCGGGCGUGACAGCUGAGCCCGCAGAAUCAGGAAUAGCAGGCCCUGCAAGCACAUUGGAGGAACAGACUGCUUCUAAUUUCUCCAGUCUAUCACUUAUUAGUCCAAUAGAAGACAUCAACGAGGUCAUCAUAGCAUGAAGAGCUGGCAUCUGGGUCCCACUAGGCCCUUCCCCUGCAUCCGAGUUGUCGGUGUUGGUAUUGAGCAGUCUGAAUAUCUCUGCUUUACUGGCAGUAGCUGGGAAAGGAAUACAUCUUCAAAGCAGCUCUGCUGUGAGACAUGGAAUAGUCCAUGAUCUAAGAGAAGAUGGACUAGUCACAUCAGCUUAUGGGCAGGGGUACAGGACCUAGUAGGAAGGGACAGUUCUUCUGGUACUUCAGGAACUUGAGACAUACUGAAAUAUAUAUAUAUCUGUAAUUACUAUAAGUGAGACAACGUAGCCUUGGGCUGGCUAGCUAAUGCCAAACGGCGAAAAUAUUAUAGUACCACAAAGUGACAGGUGAGGCCCUGCUAGUCGCCAAGCAGCGUGAGAGGCUCUAACUAUGCGUUGGCCUGAGGACUUGAGCCCACCAAAACGUUGGGGUGGGGUGUUGGCCUUUCGGUGAUUAUUAAAGCAGAAAAUAGUGUGGGAGUGACAUGAGGCCCUCUCUAUGCAACCAUGAGAGGGGAAUAACUAUGCUUUGGACCGAUGGGCGUAUACCUCUGAGUAUGAGGAUGGAUGUUGGCCUCUAGCCAAUAUAAGCUAUUUGGACACCUAAAUCCCUGAUAGCCAGUACUAUCUGCUCACAGGGGUUAAGAUAUAGGAAUUGUAAAUGUCGAGAGAGUUAGAAUCAGAAAUUAUGAUUCUUAGCAGAAUUAGGGUAAAGAGGGUGGGAGAAGAUACAUGUUGCAACCUAUAGAUGAGACGUAAUAAGUAUCUGAGUAUAUCAAUAUAUACGUAUGUGGGCCAGAUCGUGGGCCUGAGUAAUAAUAGAGUAACCUACCCAGAACCUAGAUGCGAGGAGUGAAAUUGGCAAAAGCUGGCACCAAUGGAAGAAACUUGUAAAUGCCACAGUUCUGGUCUGACAAAAGCACCAAAGGAAUUUCAGAUGUUAAUUGUAAAGUCAAAAGGAUUAUUGAAAUAAGCCAAACUUAAACCAAAUUACCAACCUAAAAGGACAAAUUUGUCAAAGCAGGAACAAUUUCUCUGACUAAUCUUCCCAAAUGCACCUGUGGGAAGAACAUCACAAUGACAUAAUGUCAGGGUGGCGGUCCGAUGACCGGGACCCAGACACUGACUGGGUGGCAGUCGGACAACCGGGACCCAGUAUGCCUGAUGUUGAAGUAGGAGUCACAGUGGAAGUGGAUUAGCAGGGUCUGGUGCAGGGUAACCGUACGCCCACUGGUGUUGUGCACCGGCGUUUGUGUGACCACAUACCAGGACCCUGAUGCAGCUACAGCGGAUCCCAGGAACUAGGAGCUUGGAAAUAAGCAGACCUCCCAGGAGCUGAAUAGGGAGGCUCUGCAGCAGGAAUGUAUCCAGUACAGAAACAAGGCAAGGCUAGGAUAAGCUCCAAACAAGAAUACAAGACAAAACUAGGAGAACCCAGAACCGGAGCAGGGCAGAAAGCAGAACCCAGAACCCAUACACAAGACAUGAGGAAAAAUAGAACAGGGCAGGACAGGACUGUACAUGAACUGGGAAUACAAGACAAAAUAAAACAAAACCAGAGAUACAAGGCAAAACAAGAGGAGACAUAACUAAGUACUAUAUGUUAAAAACUAUGGGGAUUUAGUUACAUUAUAUGAUCAUACAUUGCAUAAGCCUGCCAUAACGCCAAUGUACCCCAUAUUUGGCAGAUUCUACUCUGCCUAAUGUCUGCUAAAUAAACCAUAAUAAAGCACAUACAGCACUUACCUGCAAGAAAAAGCAGAGAACUUGAGCAACUGCCUGCAGGGACCAUCUGAAACAAAAGGAAUCAUGGAAAAGGAACGGGUGUGGCAACAUAAAACAAAUAUUUAACAGAAUCCAAGAGACUGGGAAUUCCAGGAACGGAAUACAGGAAUGAACCCAGAAAACCCAGCAAAAAGAAAACCAGACAUAGAAUAGAAAACCAGAAAAACCAAGAAAAACUAAACAAGAAUUGUAAAAAGAGUACUGGAUACCAGAAGCCAUAGCCAGAAGGAUCCACAGCUAGGAACAGGAUGUGACACAUAAGAUGUCAACCAAAUGGCAGGGUGAUAUAGCAGAAAUAACAACUCUAUAUAAAAAUAGAAAUAAUCAUGUGCAAUUAUUGUAACCUGUAAUAUCAUUCAUAACCAGUAGGGUGCACCGGGACUCAAAAGUUAUAUACCUACCCCUACACACCCAUACACACACAGACUGACCCAACCCACACAGACUGAACCAUACAUACAAACUUACCCCCUACACACAGUCUGAACCUCUCACACACAGACUGACUUUUCCACACACAGACUGACCCCCACACACCCAUAAAUACACAGACUGACCCCCACACAAAGACUAGAUGAAGGGUACAACAGGGAUGACUUUAUUCAAGCCAACUGGCCGGUUUAUAUGCAAAAGGGUUUACAGUGACAUAUUCCGGGGCAUUCCCCCAAUGGACCUGAGAGGGGACUAUGAUAAAAUUCAUACUGUAAAUACAUUGGCUCUCAGGUCCAGGACACUCCCACAUAAAAUAGGAUACUCCUUCCGCUAUGCUUGGGAGAUAAUUGAGUCAAGAAUUGUACUAAACUCCAGUAUCUCCAGGCACAAAAAACAUACAUUUCAACAAAACCCAGAAAGUACCUUAAAAUAAAUGGAAACUCCACAAAAAUCAUAUUCCCUGAUAUCCCCGAUCUGGGGGACCAACAUAUCCAAAAAUCACAAAGAUCAGUUCAGGGGUUCGGGAUUUCCAUGGAGGUCAUAAUUUGACCGACUGCACACAAGAUCCUAUGCCCAAAACAGUUCCACAGUGUCAGAGGUAGCGGUCGGUCCAUUUUGGGAAGUCAAAAAAACGAACAAAUUCACGAACUGUUCCCCUGGCUCAUGGGUAGCGUUUGUCCCCCUAAUUCAUGGUAACAAAACCAAAUAGUGCUCUCUUGGCUGGUCGGUGAAAAAAAGCAGGCGUUCGCGAAGUUGACCGGCGGUUGGGAAGUUGAGUGUCCAAUUUUAGUUCCAGACACUCAACGACCAAGUCCCGCAGCCUCUUUUUGUGCAAACAAGAUGGCCACUGUUUUCUCCAACACAUGACGUUCAGUCAUAUGAACGGCGGCCCCACAGGGAGAGCACUUAAUCUGUUGUUUUUCUUUGUAGUUAAUGAGCCAGGGCGGUGGUCGGUGGUCGUUCGUUUUAUCUACUGAACGAGAACAAUCUAAGUUAACAAACUAAUUGUGUGGUUUCUUUACAAUCUGGCUCCAGGACUCCUUUUCUUACCACAGAUAUGCUCAUAACUUCAUACAUUUUGUAAGUGUUUUUAACUGUUUGUUAAUUUGAAUAAAUGGAAAACAGAGAGAACUAUGUCUCCAUUUUCUGUUCCCUAUAGAUCAUAAGACAUCCAUGAUUGAAGAGACCGAUUUAAUGAUCAAUAGGUAUUUAGGAACAAGAAGACUUUGUACCUAAACCUUAUAUUUGCAAAUAUAGGUUCUAUAUAAUAUAUCAGCGACAGGUGACUACAGCUCCUACAAUUUAGUAGCAGGAGUCUGAUAUCUUUAAGCUGAUACAUAUUGAUAUAUUGACUUUAUUACCAUUUGUUAUUGGUUUCACAUGUUAUACUUCUUGCUACACUGGGACUAUGGACUGGUAUUUUAUUUUAUUUUAUUUUCAUUUUCUAUUUCAUGUUUUAUGUCUUAUAUUUGAUGCACCAACUAUUUUUGACCCAUAUAGACACAUACAUGCGUUCAUUGUUUAAGCUAUUAAUGGGGGUUUAUCUAACCAGUUGAGAUUAUUGAGAGUUGUGAUUCCAGUAUAAACCCAGUUCAAUCCUUGUUUUUCCACUCUAUUCUGGAUAGAUUAUUCUGUCCCUUUUACACAUAUAUAUACACACUGGCCCAUUGGCUCAGAGCAUUUUAAGCUGCUGGUUUGCCAAUAGCCAGUAGUCUCCUUUUUGUGUGGGUUGGAUGCUGCACACACUGCCACAGCAACCACUACUGCUCUCCUGGCCAAUGAGUGUGGUCUUUGAUUUCCACGCUGACCAUGCCACCCCUCUCAUGCCUAUCAUCCCAAAGCCACUGCCUCGGUGAUCUUAUGGUAAAUCCGACCCUGCAUGGGUUAAAUAUUUUUUAAAUAUCUUCAAUAUUCAUCUUCAGUUUUGUGAAUGUCUCCUUAUCACAACUCAUUCUUUAUGCAAUAAAUCUAUAUAUGUCAGUAUGUUUCAAUGAUUAAUACAAUGAUACUGAUGUCAUCUUUCCACUUGCUUUUGGUAUUUUAGAUUUCCAAACCAGCAUUUUGGGAAGCUGUUUGGACUGGUGAUGUCUCUUUCAGCUGUCGUGUUGCUCUUGCAAUAUCCAGCAUUUUACAUUAUCCGGACGCAUCUACAGAGUGACCCCUUUUAUGUGAGUAAUACAUAGAAUUUUGCUGUUUUGUUUUAUGUCAUCCAAGAAUUGGCAAACUAUUGUAGAAUUUACAAUCCAAAGAAUCAUUCAUAAAUACUCACCAUUAAGUAUCUGUAACAAUAUAUUACUAAUGUUACACCAUUGCUCCAUGUGAUUGUUAAGCCUACUUUAAACAGUUGACAGAAAUAACCCUGUUAUCUGAGAAAUAUGACUUUCAGCACUAAAGGAGUCUUUGAGCAACAUAGAUAUCAUAGACAAUGUAGGCUACCUGUGUUAUCCAUAUUUUCCAUCUUUUUAGUAACCACAUAUGGUAGUAGGAAGUUGAUAUAAAUUAAACCAACAAAAAUAAACAUAAAUAAAAAUGUCAUGUGUGCAUGUUAUGUACACACUAAGAAUAAAGUAUGUUACCAAAGUAAACUCAUACAGAAAAAGGAGACUUUAUCAUACUUACCAUCAAUUUCUUUCCAGGCUAUUUUUCAUGACAGAGGCACUAAUGGGUUAGCUCCACCUCUCAGGUGUCAGGGCAGGAAAACAAACAAAUAGACAAUUUGGAUGAGUUCCUCUCAUUUUUGUUUGAUCCACAUAAAAUUGGUGGCAUCAUCUAUCAUCCAGUUUCCUCCAAGAUUAAUUUUAUUCCAGAGUGGAUAAGAUGGAAAAUAGAACGGUAGAGAAAUAUCCUGAAUGUUAUGAAAACAAGAAAUAACCUUGGGUGAACAUUCUGAAGAAGGAAGCAGUAAAGCAGUUGUAACGUUAAUACCCAAUACGCAGAGUGAAAUUCACCAGAAUAAUAGAGACAGGUAGAAAGUCCCUAAACCGGUCCUUAGAAUUGCUGGAAUAAAAGAAGCUAAAGGAAAUGCCAGAAAUAAGCCAAGGUCAAAGGAAACUAGAAAUACACAAUAGCAAGGAACAUAGCAGAGUCAGGGAAACCAGAAAUCAGAAUAGUCAAGAGCAAGCCGGGUCAAUACAUAAAGAACAAUCAAAAGAAUACAGGAAUGCGCUGUGCUGACACUAGGAACACAAAGCACACUAGGAACCACAACAGGGCACUGAUUUGGAGGCAGACUGGGCUUUUAUAUGAUUGGGGGUGUGAUUUUCAUAACCACGCCCCCAAAAGGAACGUUUACAUUGAGCUCUCUUGUUUAGAGCUCUUCUGAACACAGGGCGUUGGUAUGCAUGUGCCGCCUCUUUAAAAGGGGCGGACGCAUAGCGGCCGGCGUCCCUGAUGCUUAAUGCAUCCUUUCCCAUCAUGGGACCGACAAGGUAAGUGACUGACAGCUUACAUCACCCCCCCCCCCCUUAGAACCGCCCACCGGGCGGAAACCAACUUGACGAUCGGGAAAGCAAGAAUGGAAAGCCUGGAGAAGGCGAUGAGCAUGGACUUCAUCAGCCCCAACCCAGGACCUCUCCUCAGGAUCAUAUCCCUUCCAAUGAAUCAAGUAUUGAAGAACACCCCUGGAGUGACAAGAAUCCACAAUAAACUGGACCUCGUAUUCAUCAUGCCCCUCCACCACAACAGGAGCAGGAGCUAAGAAGGGUCUAGUAAACUUAUUGCAAGAAAGGGGUUUCAAUAACGACACAUGGAUAUUAGGGAUACGCUAAGCAGAGGGCAAUUGUAACCUGUACGAAACCGGGGUCACACAUCUCAGAAUCCGAUAAGGACCUAUGAAAUGAGGAGCCAGUUUCCUGGUAGAUACUUUCAGGUAGAUAUUCUUGGUACUGAGCCAAACCCUAUCACCCACUUGAUAAGUCGGAGCAGCUUGUCGGUGUCUGUCGGCGUAUUUUUUCUGCAAGGCGACUUUAUGAGCCAGGAUGUGUUGAACCUGCUGCCACGUGGCCCUCAGGCCACCCAAAUAUUCCUCUACAGCCAGUAUGUCCAAUGAAGGAAAGACAGCCGGAAGAAUGGAAGGAUGGUAGCCAUAGUUGAGGUAAAAAGGGCUGUGGCUCGUGGACUCUCUUUGGGUACAAUUAUGAGCAAACUCAGCCCAGGCAGUUUCGCCCAAUUAUCCUGGUUGUCAGAGAAAACAUUGUAGGUACUUUUCCAGGGAUUGGUUAGUCCUUUCAGCAGCACCGUUGGAUUGAGGGUGAUAGGCUGAAGAAUGACAUAACUUGAUACCAAGUUGGUUAGUAAAUGCCUUCCAGAAUCUAGAGAUAAAUUGAGGACCCCUAUCGGACACUAUCUCUUCGGGUAUGCCAUGUAAGCGGAAUACUUCUCUAGCAAAGAUAUACGCUAAUUCGAUAGACGAGGGAAGCUUAGGCAAGACAACAAAAUGUACCAUAUUGGAAAACCUAAAUGUGAUAGUUAAGACCAAGGUAUUACCCUUCGAUUUAGGUAAUUCUUCUAUAAAAUCAAUGGAUAUCCUAGACCAGGGUUUUUUAGGUAUGUCCAAAGGUUGCAACAGACCACAGGGCAAGGCAUGUGAGGUUUUAGAUCAGGCACAUACGUGACAUGUUUGUACGUAAUCCUUCACAUCCAGCCUAAAAGAAGGCCACCAAAACCGAUCAGCAAUGAGGUCACUGGUCUUCUUGGUUCCAAGAUGACCAGCUGUCUUUUUAUCGUGGCAUAAGUCUAGGACCUCCCUUUGGAAUUCAGAAGGGACGAACAGCCUAUCCUGUGGAGUUUGACUAGGUGCUAUGUUUUGUACAUCUCGUAAAUACCUAAUGAGAUCUGAACCAUCUCUGAAUGUUGAGAUGGGUAACUGCUAUAAUUUUAUUUUUAGGGAUAAUAGAAGCUACUUCUUCCAUAGCUGGAAAGAUAGGUUCGAAUUGACGAGAUAAUGCCUCUGCUUUCGUAUUGUUGGUACCUGGUCUAUAAGUAAGUACAAAGUUAAAACGUGAGAAUAACAAAGACCACCGAGCCUGUCUAGCUGUUAGUCUCUUGGCCUUGCUCAUGUAUGAUAGGUUUUUAUGAUCUGUCAGGAUAGUAACAGGAGUUGAAGAGCCUUCUAGCAAAUGACGCCAUUCUUUGAGGGCCAGUACAAUUGCUAAGAGUUCCCUAUUUCCUAUCUCAUAAUUCUUCUUUGCUUUGGAAAGUUUCUUAGAAAAGAAUCCACACAGAUGUAGGGGUUGAUCAGGAGACGUUGGGAGAGAAUAGCCCCUACACCUGUAUCAGAUGCAUAUAUCCUCCAAAAGAAAAGGGAGUGAUGGAUCCGGAUGGACUAGGAUAGGUGCUGAAGCGAAUGCAACCUUCAGGGUGUCAAAGGCAGUUAGUGCUUCCGGAGUCCAUACCUGAUUAGAUUUGCCCUUUUUUGUCAUGUUUGAGAUAGUCGACAUUAUGGAGUAAAACCGUUUUAUAAAUAUAGUAGUUGGAAAGCCUAAUGAAAUGUUGGAUGGCUUUUAACCCUGUGGGUAAGGGCCAAUUAUGGAUGGCAUCUAGUUUUUGGGGGUCCAUUUCGAAACCCGAUUAUAUACCCCAGAAAAUGCACAUUUUCCUGAUCAAAUAAACACUUCUACAAUUUGCAAUACAAGCCAUUGUUCAAUAAUUUACACAAGACUUUAUCAUCAAUGUGUCCAAGAUAGCUUGAUGAGAGGCUUAGACACAGGCAAAACACCAGAGAAAGGCCCAGAAGACAGGCUAUCAGACCAGCUCCCACUCUCCCCUCUGAGUCUAUGACGGUCGCUAUCCCAGAACCUAUGCAAUUAGGUAUGACAAGGUUUUCUGAGGAAGAGCGUCAACAUAGAAGCUAUCUUGGCUCUUCUAAGGUCUCUAAAAUAGUAUCGGAUAGACCAUUAAGGAACACAUCCAUGAAUUCCUGGUUGUUCCAAUGGAUGUCUAAAGCCAAUGAACGGAAUUCUAAAGCAUAAUCCAUGAGGGAACGGUUUCCUGGUCUUAAUCGCAAGAGAGCUCUGGCAGCAUUGGCUUUCCUGCCUAGAGGAUCAAAAGCCCUCCUGAACGCUGCUAGGAACUGAGGGUAGUCAAAAACUAAUGGACUAUUGUUCUCCCAUAGCGGAUUUGCCCAAAUAAGGGCUCUAUCAGUUAGCAGGGUAAUGAUAAAGCCUAUUUUGGCCCUAUCAGUAGGGUACACUCUGAGACAUAAUUCAAACAAAAUGCUAACCUGGUUAAGAAACCCUCUACAUUUCGAUGGAUCCCCAUUAUAAUGUAUGGGUUGAUUGGGAUUAGAGUUAUGGCUGUGGGUAGAAGAUUCAGCACCAGCGGUACAGGGCACCAGCAGGUUCAUUAGAUGGAUUAAUCAGUGUUUGUAUGGCCUGGGCGAUUUGAUCCAUACGGUGGUCCAUACCAUCCAGCCUAGCGUCCUGAGCCAUUAUCUGGGGAUUAACACCUGCAGGGUCCAUUGGCCCUGUUGUAAUGUAACGUUAAUACCCAAUGCGCAGAGUGAAAAUCACCAGAACAAUAGAGACAGGUAGAAAGUCCCUAAACCGGUCCUUAGGAUGGCCAGAAUAAAAGAAACUACAAGAAAUGCCAGAAACAAGCCAAGGUCAAAGGAAGCUAGAAAUACACAAUAGCGAGGAACAUAGCUGAGUCAAUUCAUCAUCAUCAAAGAAUUCAUCUUUGUCAAAAAUGUUUAGCCAAAGGGGCGGGGGCCUGGCCACCAUGCUAGCAGGCUGCAUGCAAGAGUAGCUCCUGCACAAAGAGGCCUAUUUUUCUGAUAACAGCCAAAACAUUAACCAUCCAGCAACAAAUAUAUGAUGACAACUGCAGGAGCUGGGUAUACGCCCAAAAUAAGGUGAUUUUUGAGUUCUUUAGAGGGAGAACUGCUGCUCCUGUGACUGAGGACUACUUAGACAGUAAGCAGGGUGGACGGCUCCGCCCUGCUCCUUUGCCUAGGGGAAUCACACAGGCUCUACAACACUACAUCUUGCUGGCCCCGUUACCUCCCCCUUUGGACUGGUGGGGGUUAUCCAGGUCCCCACUGGGGAAGCUGCCGCACUCACCUGCAUCGGAAAAUAUCUGUACACAGAGGCACUUAGGGCUGCUUUACAAAAUGGCAGUGUGACAACAUGUAGCUGACUUAACCCUGCAACUAACCACUGACCUCACUAAAUAUGACUGGCUGUUUGAGCACUUCUGGGAGAUGUUGCAUCAACAAGCCGGAGACUGGCACCCUCGGAAUGCCAGUCUUGAAGAAUUGAGAUUUACUCCUGCCACUGAGUAGCAGAAGCACCUUCCCAGACUGGGAACCAAACUGGGUAGAUGCCCCCCUUGUUGCCCACACCCACGGAAGGUAUUGCCGCAGAGGCGUCCGCAAUGUCCGAAGCCAUGGCUACCCUAGAAAAAGGCCCUAGAGUUUGUUAAUGUCUGGGACAGUGGAGCUGGAGUGUAGGUUCCUGUGAAGGCCAGUGGCUGGCGAAAUGUGGUUUUGGGGUUCUCAUGGGGCUCCUGUGAACAGAUCAACACCUAUGUGCCAUUGCUUAGUGAGGGGAUAGACUGAUUUAUAAUCGCCAUGUUGCUGCCCGUUUGACAGGCUCUCUAUAUAUGCACCUGUUUAUUAUACCCUUUUUUUUUUCCUUUGUGCCUGUGUGUAGAUAGCGCCACUGAUUCCCACUGACACUGAUGUCAAAUUACCUUUCUGACAACUUAUUGAGAUGCAGGGCUCCCAAGUGGCUUAUAUAUACACUCAGUCAUGUUAAUCAUUACUCUGAUAUGCCUACAUGUAUCUAUAUUUUUUUCAAGCUAUAUAAUACAAUUGUCUUUUAUAAUACCAUCAGUUAACACUGGGUGACAAGCCUGACCAAUCAGCUACAUGUCUUACACCCUGUUUAUAUUUUCAAAGGAGUGCAUAUCUUGAGUUUAAUUUGUACCUAGACAUGUAUACCCAGCAUGAAUACUCUAAUUCUUACUUUCAAAUUGUGCAGUUUAGCAUGACGUUCUAAGCUUUAGCUAUAUGCCUGUUUUUUUCAUUUUGUUCUGUUUUUGCAUCAUAUGUCAUGUGCUCUAUGUUUGCACCACUGCACUGCAAAACACUUGUGAUGUUAAACUCUCUUUAAAAAAAAAAAAAAGUGCAAGUCUCUUGGCAUGUCCUCUCUCAUAAAUGCAAUGACUGUCACAUUUACUCUUGAUGAUAUGUCAGUAAAAGUUUCUAUGUCUAUCGAUACACUACAAAAAUAAACAAUUAGAGCAAAUAAAAAUGUUUAGCCAGUCAUUCCAGAAAAUAAAUUCCAGAUUAUUCCAGUUAAAUUGAUUUAACACUCCUUUGUCUUUUAAAUGAUUUUUAAUGUUUUUUUUAAGUAAUAAUAAUAAUAAAUAUAACAAUUAUACAUUUGUGUCAAUGUUUUAACAGUCAAUAAUGUUUUAACAGUUUGAUACAUAUUAUGUUUUUAGACAUGUGCAUUUGUUUUCGGACGAAUAUGAUUUCGUCCGAAAUUUCAGAUUAUUUCGUAUUCGUUUACUAAAACGUAAAUGAAAGUCCUACAUACAAAAUAUAAAUGAAACGAAAAGGCAAAUACCGAAUGCAUUACCUUUUCAUUUCAGUAAUUUUGUUUAAUAGACUCCGUGCUGCAGGAGAAUUAACCCCCAUAGCACAGAGGAGAAACCCUCAAGACGUAACCUGUGCUGAGCUGCAAGGAGACUCUUACAAGCACAGGUUUAGUGACUUAACAUGUGCUUGAUGAAAAUAACACUGCACAUGCGCAAAAAAAAACUGCAAGGAGGGAGCUUGGAGUGUCUCACUGGCAUACCCUUUCUGUGACUGUGCACACACUUACAGACACAUGCGUUGCAAAGCAGGUGUCCUGGUGUGAUCCAUUCACAGAAUCUUUUUGUUAUUCAAAUGUGUGUGUGUAACCUGUAACUUUGUGCCUGGGACUGUGUGCAUGUGACUCUGCAAAAAUACACACUUGUAUUCACACAUAGGCCUACAUAGAUACUUUUAUCUGAAUUAAAUACCUAUCACACACAGCAAAUAAACCCAGCACAAAUAUCACACACAUCCAAUACAUACAUAUAUCACACAUAGUCAAUACAACCACUACGAAUAUUACACACAUCCAACACAUAGCAUACAUAUCACACACAGCCAUCACACCUAUCACACACAGACACCACACACACAUUACAUCAUAUUGUUAUGAGAUUUAUUACAGUGGACCUCUGUCACACAAAAUGCAAUAUGUAGCUGUCUUCUGAGUUGUGGCCAAUCAGAAUGUUGCCGCGGUUUACCACAGGAAAGCUCUGACACUGUAGUGACUGAGCUCAUGAGACAGUUACUUAUGGUCUGCACCAGUUGGAGGUGCAGACCAGAUUACCAGCACAUUGGCUCACCAGAGAUCACAUACAAACACUAUACCUAUUGACAUACACUAUACAUGGAUAUAAGGGUAUGACUGGGUGGGGGACUUGGGACUGUGAACAUUUUUCGCACUGGGCACCUAAUAUGUAUCUCUUGGCAGGACCAGCACUAAAGAAAUCAGGACUUUUUAAAAAGCCCAAGGGGCCAAACUUAAUCCAAAAUGAAGACUAAACUAGUUUGACGAGGUGGCGUGACUAACCGCCAAGCAAGAUGGAAGCAUAAGUUCUUGCUCCAGCACGAAGGCUCAAUAAUAAGCUUUCCAAAAAACAUCAGAGCCUGCAAGCGACACCAAAUAAUAUCUGCACAGACUAUGUCGCAACCCAGACCAAAAAGAACAACAAGAACAAAAAGAACAACACUCGGAUAAACUGAACUUCUUCAAUCAGAAGAACGCUUAAGCUAUCCCGGCCACAAGAACUGCAACACAAGAUAGCGACGUAGAAGCAGCCCCAGCUCUACCCCCGACUGCCUGGAUUUUGGUGAGCACCUCACGACAACUUACCUCCAACAAGCCCUUGAUGCUCUCUCGAGCAAACUAAUAACCUCAUGGCAAACAUCCGUAGAUGAUCUAUGGAAAGACAUCCAAGACCUGAGAAGAUGAAUUUGCCAAUGCCCAUAAAGACCUGGCUGGCCAUGUCCAAGCACUCGAAUAAAAAAUAGACACAAUGGAGGAGAAACUUAUAGAUGUGGAAGACCGGCGCACCGGGAAACAUUUUUCACCUAAGAAACAGUCUUACAGAUCUAUGUGCACAGCUCUAUGUGCAGGGCCUAAUGCACGCUUACACCUCAGACAUACCAGUGGACAUAGGGUCUAUAGAACUCGCCACCUACCCAAUACAGUGCCACAAAACGUGCUCAUGAGGGCACACUCUUUCCACAUUAAGGAGAUUGUGCUCAGGGCUAGAAGGAAAAAAGACCAACCAUUAGAAGACUAUUCCUCAGUCAAGAUAUUUGCUGAUCCAUCUGCAACUAUGAUCCAGAAGCGCACACUGUUCCACCCAGUGCUCGUUGUUCUUAGGAAUAACUUCAUCAUGUAUCGUUGGGGGUUUCCCACCAAGCUCCUAGUUACUCAAGACGGCGGUAUUAAAGUCCUGCAAUCACCGGAGGAUGGGCUACGCAAACUGAAGGAACGAGGACUCAUGGAACAGCAACCCACUAAUACCUCGAGAACCGGACGGAAAAUACCUUUGACAAAGAGCGAAACCUACGUGAGACGUGUCUGAACAGUCAUUGCCUGCAGGCUUGGACAAGUAUACCUGCACAACGCCUUCUCCACCUUUGCUGUGUUCAUAUGUUAAAUUACUGUUGCCUUAGAAUACAAUCCUAUAAAAAUGUUCUAAUAAUAAUUAUUAAGUAUAGAAAUAACCCCUUUGACAUAUAGGGGUAAGCAUUGGGAUUACCUUAUGAUAGGCUAUGCAGACCCAUGCAGCCCAUUGUUCAAUGAGGGCGCAUGGGUACUUUCACCUUGCACAGAGGGGAGAGGAAAAGGAAAGAGAAAAGAAAAAAAAUGACAGAAUAUGUUUAUGUCUGAGUCUAUUCACACCUAUGUGUUUGAAUUACCAUGUAAUGUUAUUUGAUACCUAUUCGAUAGGAGACUAUGCUAAAUUUAGGUAUCCCAUUAAUCCAUUGUCUAUAUAAUUUUUUUAUGUUACAACAUAUCUUGUAACAAUCUAUCUGCCACACGUGCAAACCCACUAAUAACCCACUAAUAGCCCUCUAGGCACUAACAUCCUAGUUCCAGCCACAUCUUGGCUCUGAUACCAACCCACCAAACAGAUCCACCCAACAGGAGACGAUGCUCUCCCGCACACCCACAGGGUGAAACACCCGCUCUGUCUCUCAACGAGAGAACCUUUGUAAAUACUUCUGUUUACCUAUUUUACGUUUUCCCCUUGCUUUAAUUUUACUCUACCUCUCCUACCCCACCAAUCCAAAAAAAGGCACCAGUGUUCCAACACAGCAUCAAAACCUACAACAUCAACCACUAAACCAUACGGUUUACUAUUACGAAUCUCGACCUGCCCAGCUACACACACUCCCAUCAAUAUACAAUAUGAAAAUAUUAUAUAAUAUAUAUAUAUAUAUAUAUAUAUAUAUAUAUAUAUAUAUAUUGCAUAAUGUACGCAGUAUGAAUACACCGCAUAAAACUUCUACUAGACGAUGACAAACGCAAUCACACUGAAAUACUGUGCUUUCAAGAAAUACAUUUCGUAACUAACAGGGUACCUAAAUUUGGCUUGAAUUAAUACCCAACUCAAUACCAUGCAACACACACAUCAAAAUGUAGAGGCGUCUCGUUCCAGAUCCGUAAAUCAGUAGUCUUUGAACUCCUACAAAUACGAAAAGAUAGUCAAGGACGAUUUCUAACCCUACAUUGCAUCCUCAAUGCCCAACCUCUCACUCUACUGGAUUUAUAUAGUCCUAAUGCCCGCCAACGCUACUUUUUACAUCAAGUGCUCACAAAAAUGCCCCAAUACCAAACUAAUUCUACGAUAAUAUGUGGAGACCUCAACCAUGAACUUGACUACAGAUUAGACACAAACAAAUCCACAAGUUACACAGCACUCUCAAACCAUUGUAAAGCUAUAACUAAACUGAUUGCGGAACAUGGACUCUAAGACUCAUGACACUGAUUUUACAUUUUACUCAUCAGUCCACAAAACACAUUCUAGGAUUGACCUAGUGCUGGUGUCGGCACACUGCUUCCACAUGUCAUGCAGUUUAGCAUAGGGGAAAUAGUAUGGUCUGACCAUGCACCUGUGACAAUAACAAUACAAGAUAACUUUCAAUUUCGGGACCUAACCCCGUGGGGCCUAAACGAAACGCUAUUACACAACAAGGAAUUUGUAAAUAAACUAAAAGACUGCAUAACCUCAUACUUUGACAUCGAUGAUACUCCUGAAGUUACUCCAUUAUCACUCUGGCAGGCACACAAAUCGGUCAUCAGAGGUUUGACAAAUAGCAGAGCUUCCUACCUCAAAUGUCAAUCACAAACAGAAUAUAUAACAUUACUCAGAACAUUGAGAGAUGCCACAAAUGCCAACUACUCACACCCCACAGACCAAAAACACAUGACUCAUAACCCAAACAAGGUAACAAUUAAACGACAUACAUCUAGCGUAAUCUUCAUGCAUACUACAGAAAUUGAAAGUAAGGACAUACACACAAAGCAGGAAAACUGCUUACCAACAUGUUGAGAACUAAACACUCCCAAUCCAAAAUUAAAAACAUAAUAACAAAAACAGGUAAAAAAAAUAUACCAACCCCAGGACAUUAACAACACCAUGGCAGAUUAUUACCAUUCCUUGCACAACCUCCAAGAGAACAAAACACUACAUCAACCAAGCACAUCUGAAAUUGAACAUCUCCUGACACGUAGCAAUCUGCUGUCAUUGACGAAAACGCAAAAAGACAUCUUAACUGCCCCUAUCACCACUCAGGAGAACCUAAAAAACAUAAAAAAAACCCUACCUGCAGGGAAAUCUCCCAGCCUGGAUGGCUUUAGAAACUCCUUCUACAAACAAUUUGCAAAUAUUCUGGCUCCCAAAUUAGAAAGAGUAUUCAACCACAUCAUAAAUAUAGGUAACAUAUUGCCUGAAAUGCUCUUAUAUGCAUAUAUCUCCACUCUGCCCAAACCUGGAAAAACCCCCAAUAGAUGUCAAAACCUAAGGCCAAUUUCGUUAUUAAAUUGUGAUAUCAAGAUCUUAUUAUAAAUAUAUACUAAUAGGUUAUCUCCUAUCAUUCCAACCAUUGUCCACGAGUAUCAAGUGGAGUUCGUGGGAAGGAGGCAGGGACUGGAGGAGUCUAGGAAGCUGCUGAACUUAUGAAGCGAGCAGAGGAGAGUGAGGGCACCUUGUGUGCUUGUCUCCAUAGACACAGAGAGAGCGUUUGAUAGGCUACAAUGGCCCUUCCUUCACUCUAUCCUUGCAAAAUUUGGAUUCCAAAAGCAGUUCAUCUCCCUGAUUUCUGCGUUUUACUCCGGACCCACAUCAAAAGUAGUGAAUAGAGGUUUUAUCUCAAAGCAAUUCAACAUUACCAACGGAACAAGACAGGGUUCCCAUUAUUUUACAUCCUUCGCCUAGAACCUCUAACACAGUCAAUAAGAGAUCAUUCAGACAUACAUGGUUUUAAAGUAGGGGGCGAAAACCACAAGAUCACGCUUUUCUCAGAUGACAUCUUUCUCACGUUAGAACAACCACGCAUUUCCUUAUCCCAAUCUACAUACACUCUAACAACAAUAAAGUGAAUGUUCUAAUUACAAACUUAAUGUCACCAAAACACAGACCAUGGGACUUGACAUUCCACCCGAAACACUAUCCGCAUUAAAACAAACUUUUCCAUAUGACUGGAGAAGGGAUCACCUGAUAUUCCUGGCAGUAGCAUUCACAGCAUUGGAGUCAGCCCUAUUCAAAACCAAUUAUGCCAAACUUUUAAAGAAUAUAAAAAAACAAUUACAAGCGUUGAAAGGGAAAUUCCUCUUAUGGACUGGUAGGAUAGCAGACAUCAAAAUGAUGGCAUCACCAAAACGUCAGUACCAAUUCAGGUCGCUCCCAAUCCGCCUACCCCCAAUAUAUUUAAUAGAAGCACAGAAUCCAUUUGUAUGGAAUGGGAAAAGACCCAGAAGAGCAACAUCCACACUAUACAAACCAUUCUCAGUGGGAGCAAUUGGACUACCAAAUAUAACUAUCAAUAAGUGGCAAUUAUAGGCCCAAUCCUUUCAUCCGCAGCACAACACAGUCAACCCCCUUGGGUCCGGAUAGAAGCCAGCUAUGCCAGGGGUCACCCACUAUUCUCCCUAGCCUGGACACCAAAGACCCAAUGUCAUGCAUACCCUGAGAUACUUCCAAUCACAACACACACACUGGGACAAGCACACACAAAAACCAAUAUUAAAAAAUCACAGUGAGUUUCCACACAAUGUCUGAUACUCUAACACCUAUGUGGGAUCCCCUUAACCCACACCAACAAAUACAAAAUCCAAAUAUAUAUCUAUGUAUAUCCCCUUAAUGACUGUGGACCUACUACGUACGUCCGUCAAAAAAAACAAACGGUUGUUAAGGGCCGCGGACAUACCUAGUACGACCGCAGCAAAUAGAAGCCCUUGACUUACCUGGGCCAGCGAUCCACAGUAAUCAUGGUCGGGGGGGACUGCCGGAGACCCCAGCAGUCCCCCUGCAGCAGCUCCGGCCACACCAGCCCUCCAGGGCCAGGUGAUCACCAUGAUCACAUCGCCGCAAUAGGAGUGUAGGAGCUGUCAGCAGGGAGACUGUCUGUCUGAGCUGUCAGACAGUCCCGCAGGCUGCUAAAAAAAAAAAUUAAAUAAAAAAAUACAUACAUAUAUAUAUACAUAUAUAUUAUACACCUAUAUCUAUAUUUAAUACAUGUAUAUGUAUAAUAUAUUAUAAAAUAAUUAAAGAAUUUUAGAAUACUUUAUAUAUAUUAUAUAUAUAUUAUAUAUACUGUAUACAAUAUUCCUUUUUAUCCCUGUACACACACUUUCAGAUUUUCCCAAAUGCCGGGUGCAUUCCAGCCAUAGCCAUAAAUAAUAGAAAAAAUAGUGAAAAAAGGAUUGCACUCACGGUCUUUUUCUUUUAUAAAAAUUUUCUUUCUUUAUUCCAUUUCUGGUUAAAGCAUAAUCAUAGUCAUAAUCAACGUUUCAGCCAUCAUCCGUGGCUUUCAUCAGGAUCAGUUCAGGAUCUGAAACUGCUAUGUUUGCAUCUGCAGGGUUAAAACCUGAGGAACCUGGCACCAAGACCACUUCAUUGAGCUGAAGUGGUCUGGGUGACUAUAGUAUCCCUUUAAAUUGCUAUGUGUGUCAAAAAAAUCACCAAUUAUUUACUUUUAUUUUUUUAAUUUGGCAUAGAUUGGUGGUAAAAUGGUUGCAUGAAAAGAGUCAAAAUACCCCAAGUUUAACACCUUAGGUUGUCUUCUUUUAAAAAAAUAUAUACAUGUGAAGGGUUAUUCAGGGAUUCCUGACAGAUAUCAGCGUUACAAUGUAACUUAAUUUUAAUUUUGAAAAAAAGGUUUUGAAAAUAGCAAAGUGCUACUUGUACUUAUAGCCCUAUAACUUUCCAAAAAAAAGCUAAGAACAUGUUAACAUUGGGCAUUUCUAAAGUCAGGAUAAAAUAUAGAAACUAUUUAGCAUGGGUGUUUUUUGGAGGUUGUAGAUACGUAACAGAUUUUGGGGGUCAAAGUUAGAAAAAGUGUGUUUUUUUUAAUAUUUUUUUCAUGUUUUAUAUUUUUUUCAUAUUUUAUAUUUUUUUAUAGUACGUUAUAUGAUAUGAUGAAAAUAAUGGAAUCUUUAGAAAGACCAUUUAUUGGCGAGAAAAACAAUAUAUAAUAUGUUUGGGUACAGUAAAUGAGUAAGAGGAAAAUUACUGCUAAACACAAACACUGCAGAAAUGUAAAAAAGAGUCCUAGUCCUUAACGGUAAGAAAAUUGAAAAACCGUCUAGCCACUGAGGGGUUAAAGUGCUUUAUUAUCCAUAAAGAGCACCAAACAUAAAUACAAUAAAAAUAGAAUAAAAAGUUCUUACAAUAUGGGUAGUAAGUCCUUAUGAUGUGCAAAACGCAUUUCACCUCUCUGGGAGGCUUCCUCAGUUGCUGUGAUGGGGUCUUUAGUCCGUUCUUCUUGUAAAUGGUUACGUUCACCGUUUUCGGGUGUCUUACGUUUUGGUCGAAAAACAAACCAAUCAGAACAAAUUUCAUUGGCAAUGCCAAUCUAAGCACUUACAUCCCUGAUCCCAGACUUUAAUGCCAAAAUACGGCAAUCACUUAGUGUCAUGAAGGCAAACUUAAAGAAUAUGAAAUGUUGCAAACACAAUAUAACAUAUCAAACAUUGCUCACUUUUCCUAUGUGCAAUUAAACUCGUGGUUCAAAAAAAACUAUGAACAAGGUAAAGCGUUUGUACAUGGACAACAGUUGAUGGACAAAGAAAAAAUAUGCCCUCACCAAUGCAAACGGGAAAAAGAUUUAAAAAUAGAAUUCACGCAUUCCCAAAGACGAACAAUACUCCAAGCUCACAAGGUCAGUGUAGGACCUGCCUAGGGGUGUCUGCCUUGACGUUGGCAGGCGGGCAUUUCUUCCAAUGGCCAUUGGAGUAACUAAAUUACCUCCAUUUGUUUAAAUAUACAUAGGGAUUCAGGAGAGAGCGCAGGUAACUUUUUCUUUGGUUUUUACUGUCAUAAUACUCUUAGCUUUUACUGCAAUAAAAUACACCUUUUUGUAUUCAGCAAUGUUUCACGUGUAAAACAGUAGCCCCUACGUACAGAUUUUAUGGUGUUUUGGGAAGUUACAGGGUCAAAUAUAGCAUGUUACAUUUUUCAAUUUUUACAUUGAAAUUUUGCCAGAUUAGUUACGUUGCCUUUGAGACCGUAUGGUAGCCCAGGAAUAAGAAUUACCCCCAUGAUGGCAUACCAUUUGCAAUAGUAGACAACCCAAGGUAUUGCAAAUGGGGAAUGUUCAGUCUUUUUUAGUAGCCACUUAGUCACAAACACUGGCCAAAGUUAGCGUUAAUAUUUGUUUGUGUGUGAAAAAUGCAAAAAACUAAUAUUGAAUAUUAAAAAAGACUAGACAUACCCCAUUUGCAAUACCUUGGGUUUGUCUACUUUUGCAAAUUCCUAUCAUGAGGGUAAUUCUCAUUCCUGGGCUACCAUAUGGUCUCAAAGGCAAUGUAACCAAUCUGGCGAAUUUUAAUAUGAAAAAACUGAAACACAAGCCUUAUAUUUGACUCUGUAACUUUUGAAAACACAAUAAAACUUGUACACAGGGCCGGCCCUGCCUGUACAUGAGGGGUACUGUUAUACUCAGGAGACUUUGCUGAACACAAAUAUUAGUAUUUAAAUAACGUAAAACAUAGCACAACAAUUAUAUUGUCAGUGUAAGUCCUGUUUGUGUGUGAAAAAAUGCAGAAAAAUGCAUUUUUACUGAUGAAAUAAUCACUGUAAUACAUUUUACUGAUUUGAAACACUAAUAUUUGUGUUCAGCAAAGUCUCCCGAGUAAAACAGUACCCCAUAUGUACAGGUUUUAUGGUGUCUUGGAAAGUUAAAGGGUUAAAUAUAGUGCUAGCCAAUUAAAUUCUCUGGACUUUCUGCCUGGGUUAUCAGGAAGGUGGUGCAAAUUGUAAUUAAUAAAAUGACUUAAUUAUGUAAAAAUAUUACAUAAAUAUAUACGUAGACACGUGCACACAACUUCUUUGGUCGACCAUGGUGAGGCCUGUUCUAAGUGGAACCUUUCCUGUGAAACCACUGUAUGGUGUUGCCCACCGUGCUGCAGCUCAAUUUCAUGGUCUUGGCAAUCUUAUUAUAGCCUAGACCAUCUUUAUGUAGAACAACAAUUCUUUUUUAUAGAUCCUCAGAGAGUUAUUUGCCAUGAGGUGCCAUGUUGAACUUCCAGUGACCAGUAUGAGAGAGUGUGAGAGCGAUAACACCAAAUUUAACACACCUGCUCACUAUUCACACCUGAGAGCUUGUAACACUAACAAGUCACAUGACACCGGGGAGGAAUAAUGACUAAAUGGGCCCAAUUUUGACAUCUCCACUUGUUGCCAACGGUUUAGACAUUAAUGGCUGUGUGUUGAGUUAUUAUGAGGGGACAGCAAAUUUACACUUUUAUACAGACUGUACACUUGCUACUUUGCAUUAUAGCAGAGUGUCAUUUCUUCAGUGUUGUCACAUGAAAAGAUAUAAUAAAAUAUUUACAAAAAUGUGAGGGGUGUACUCACUUUUGGGAGAUACUGUAUAUAUGAAUAUUAAAAUACACUUAGACAGUGUAUGUAUGUGUAAGUGUGUGUGUAUAUGUAUGUGUGUGUGUGUAUAUAUAUAUAUAUAUAUAUUUAGAUCUUAUAUAUAUAUAUAUAGGAUCUAAGUAUGUAUUAUUUAUUUUUAAACUGUUUUAAAACUUUACUAAACGUUUUUUCAGGCAGCAGGGGGACUACCUGUCAUUGCAGGCACUCCCCCUGCUGGCACUGCUAGGGACGGCUAUUCCGUCCAUGUGAUCGUGAGGUCCUCACAAGGACUUUGCGAUCACAUGGCCCGGGGGGCCGGAUCAGAUGCAGGGAGACUGCCGGUCCUUAAGAGGUUAAAUCCUAAAGCAAACAUAAACGGCAAUUAAAAGAUUAGCGAUUAGAUUAGAUCAGAUAAGAUGAGACAACUGAGUCCAACAGCUGUGUCCAUCCUACCACUCCGAAUGUACCAUAUGAUAUCUCGAAUGUACUAUAAGACAUCUUAGAUCACAACAAAAAGAACUCUCAUUUUAGUGAUGGCAAUGCUCUAAUUGCACUCAAGGGAGAUUUACACAAACCUAUCAUAUAAGACAAACAACCUAGAUCAACAGGCCUAUACCAAUACACCUCCGUAGCACCACUACAUAUGAGCUCUUGAUGCUCACAAACCUGGCCCACAUGUAUUUCACGAAUCUAUGAAUGUAAACCUGAAAUUUGUAUGCUGUUUGAUGCUUGUCACCGUCACCAUCGAACAAAGUAUGAACAUGUUAAAAUGAUGCAAAAAUAUAACAAGCUACUUGACAUAUGCCUUUGCUCUCCCACCCCUCUUCCUUUCUGUACCAUCCGUUCAAAAAUCAAUAAAAAGUUAUACAAAAAAAAAAAAAAAGCUCAACAUGGAACUCAAAGAUAGUGCACUAUAAGUAAAACAAUAGGAUGUGGUGGGUAUGGUGCUUAUAGAGCACCUUUUAAAUAACAAUUGAUGAUCAUUACCUUGAGGACAACUUGAUUUUUAAUCUGUCUUUCUUUAUAUUUCUCUAGGUGGAUAUCACACUUCUUAUCCUGGGGCUCUUGGCGUUUAUUCAUCCUUUCAAUGUUUUUCGUGUUUGCAAAAAGAAAGCUGUUUCAAGGGAGUGACAGCAUGUUGUCUUCAAGCAAAUCAAUUUUCUGUAAAAUAAAAAUCACUCUUCCUAAAACAAUAUGCAGUCUCUUCAGCCAUCACUAUUUACAUUUACACUGUUCCUUUCUAUGUCUCUUCCUAUCUCUUUAGUAGAAUUUAAUAUUCAAGCCGUUCAGAAUCUUGGUAAAUUGGGUGAUCGAAUAAAAUUCCAAUUUGGGAGCUGCCACACGCUAGAUUCUCGGGAAAGUUGACUGACGCAAGCCCAAGCCCAAACAUGUUAGUUUUCAUUCAUGAAUCACAGUACCAUUCCUGGCACAAAAAGGGGAUGGAAUGGAAGAGGGGCAUAUUAUUAAUAAUGAUGGUGGGGGUGCAAAUAAGCAAAAGUAGUCCAUAAUGGAAAAGAGGUCUGUCCAAUCAUAUAGGCUGCAUUUUCUGUCCAAUCAAGAGGUAGAAAAAAAAAUACUUAGGGAGGUGCAGUAAAGCAAUUUUGUACUUCAAUGUAAGAUUUUUCCAGACAAUUUGAG